ACUUAAUUAGUUUAUUGAAUGUCAAAUUGUGAUUUUGAAGGAAGAUGUUAAGUA
rnacentral:tRNA from 1 species